AGACGAGGAGNUUGGUCCUCUGACGUUAGCGGCGGACGGGUGAGUAACACGUGGAUAACCUACCUAUAAGACUGGGAUAACUUCGGGAAACCGGAGCUAAUACCGGAUAAUAUAUUGAACCGCAUGGUUCAAUAGUGAAAGACGGUUUUGCUGUCACUUAUAGAUGGAUCCGCGCCGCAUUAGCUAGUUGGUAAGGUAACGGCUUACCAAGGCAACGAUGCGUAGCCGACCUGAGAGGGUGAUCGGCCACACUGGAACUGAGACACGGUCCAGACUCCUACGGGAGGCAGCAGUAGGGAAUCUUCCGCAAUGGGCGAAAGCCUGACGGAGCAACGCCGCGUGAGUGAUGAAGGUCUUCGGAUCGUAAAACUCUGUUAUUAGGGAAGAACAAAUGUGUAAGUAACUAUGCACGUCUUGACGGUACCUAAUCAGAAAGCCACGGCUAACUACGUGCCAGCAGCCGCGGUAAUACGUAGGUGGCAAGCGUUAUCCGGAAUUAUUGGGCGUAAAGCGCGCGUAGGCGGUUUUUUAAGUCUGAUGUGAAAGCCCACGGCUCAACCGUGGAGGGUCAUUGGAAACUGGAAAACUUGAGUGCAGAAGAGGAAAGUGGAAUUCCAUGUGUAGCGGUGAAAUGCGCAGAGAUAUGGAGGAACACCAGUGGCGAAGGCGACUUUCUGGUCUGUAACUGACGCUGAUGUGCGAAAGCGUGGGGAUCAAACAGGAUUAGAUACCCUGGUAGUCCACGCCGUAAACGAUGAGUGCUAAGUGUUAGGGGGUUUCCGCCCCUUAGUGCUGCAGCUAACGCAUUAAGCACUCCGCCUGGGGAGUACGACCGCAAGGUUGAAACUCAAAGGAAUUGACGGGGACCCGCACAAGCGGUGGAGCAUGUGGUUUAAUUCGAAGCAACGCGAAGAACCUUACCAAAUCUUGACAUCCUCUGACCCCUCUAGAGAUAGAGUUUUCCCCUUCGGGGGACAGAGUGACAGGUGGUGCAUGGUUGUCGUCAGCUCGUGUCGUGAGAUGUUGGGUUAAGUCCCGCAACGAGCGCAACCCUUAAGCUUAGUUGCCAUCAUUAAGUUGGGCACUCUAAGUUGACUGCCGGUGACAAACCGGAAGAAGGUGGGGAUGACGUCAAAUCAUCAUGCCCCUUAUGAUUUGGNCUAACACCGUGCUACAAUGGNAAAAUACAAAGGGCA
rnacentral:rRNA from 1 species